GUAGAUAAUAAAACUUGGUGAACUAUAGUGGUGGGGAAUUUUAGAGAAGUUGCACCAGCCAAGGAAGAGACUGAAUCUUGAGCCCCUCCCCUACACUACUUCCUGUCUCUUUCCCUAACUGCCUGGAUGAAGAAUCUUCUCACAGAUGAUGGAAGAUAUUAAGGAAGAGAGAAAGAGAAGAAAAGGGGAGAGAGAGAGAGCUCCAGCUUCUUCUGAGCCAGCAACUAGGACUGAGAAGCAGGGAAGAAACUGCUAUUUAAAUGAUGUAAUGAGUGGAGACAUUGGAGGGAAUUAACAACUCAGAAGUCUAUCCCUUGCUUAUCUGGACAGUCCAAUCAAAGACUCCCCUUAGCCUGGCCUUUUUUGAAAGAAAACUCCAGAAACUUGAACUUUCCAGUAUUUUAAAGGACAGACAAAGGUAAGAAACUGCUGGACAACCUCCCUUAUAUCUUCUAGGGAUACAGAGAAAGAGAUAGUCUUGAAAGAGGUAAACUUUAGUGUGACUCAAUAAAUUGUAGCCUUUAGGAUACUCA
rnacentral:lncRNA from 1 species